UGCUGCCUUAACUGGUAACUGGUGUUGUCAA
rnacentral:piRNA from 1 species